AUCCAGAGCAAGUCCGGCCCUAGUCAAGCCAUUCAUCAGUGAAAUGAGGAUGUUACACUUGGCGCACACAACCAUGUGUCAAUGAGUUGGAUCUUACAAUGGUACUGCUUGUCUGGCCAAGCCUGGCUUCCCCCAGGAGAACAGACCUCACAUUGGGGCGUGGAGCAACAGAUGCCCAGCUUUAUACCAGCAUUCAGCCACCCUCAGCCUGCCUGACAGCCCUUUCAUGCACCAUGGAUUCAUCUGUUUCAAUGAAACCCCAGAGAAAAGUAUUUUGCUGGUUUUGGGGGGUUUUCGGUUUUUGUUUUUUGGGUUUUUUGUAUUUGUUUUUGUUUUUCCUGGAGACCACUUUAUAGAAUGUGUCCAGAUAUUCACUCUGGAAACUAGGCAGAAACAUGUGAAAAAGAUUUGAGUGCCCUGACCUGACCCAGCUCUCAUCUGAAGAAACUUGUGGCCAGGCACCCAUCAAUGUGGUUAGUCAAGUGACAAGAUGGAGGACCAGGAAGAAUGAAGAGGCUAGCUAGUAGGUGGAACAUCGUGCCUGGAACUUGCCAACUCAGUGUCUGGAUAACACCCAACACAGGCCCUUGAACACAGCAGGGAAUCAAUAGAUAUCAAUUGAAUCAUAGUAAAAUAUACAAUAUAUAUUGAA